UAGCAAUACAAAUAAAAAACACUACAAAUUUUCUCAUAUCUAAGAUUUGAGCAGUCCCAUUCUUCUGAAAAACUUUGUAUUGCUUCAUUACUAGGAUGGUGUACCAAGGACAGCAUAUAAAGGAGUAGUGGUUUUCCGAUACCCGCCACCUAGACGUGAAUUUCUUGUUGGUCCCGACUCUCUUCAGCAGCUAGGGAUCGAAGGUGCUUGAAGACUUAAAGUGAUCGGGAUAACAUAUUUCCAAAUUGACGGCAGAGGGGUUCCGGCGAAUGAAUUUAUUUUUGAAGCAUAAGAAGGGAUGAAAUUAGGGAGGAGAUAAAUUCUGGUUUAAAUAAAAAAGGAGACGGUCAGGUAGGCCGAGGCUUCUUAUCGUCCAACAUUUCUAGACUAGGGAAUUUGACAUGAAUACAUCUUUGAACUUAGGCAGGGAUGAUCGCAUAUGGUAGGACACAAAAAAGGCCUUCAAUUUUGUAGGUUUAAGGUUACUUUCUUUUUUAUAUGAUAGAUAGUUCUUCCA